rnacentral:rRNA from 1 species
CAGUCGCCGCGGGAACACGGAGGGAGCUAGCGUUGUUCGGAAUUACUGGGCGUAAAGCGCACGUAGGCGGUUAUUCAAGCCAGAGGUGAAAGCCCGGGGCUCAACCCCGGAACUGCCUUUGAAACUAGAUGACUGGAAUCUUGGAGAGGUCAGUGGAAUUCCGAGUGUAGAGGUGAAAUUCGCAGAUAUUCGGAAGAACACCAGUGGCGAAGGCGACUGACUGGACAAGUAUUGACGCUGAGGUGCGAAAGCGUGGGGAGCAAACAGGAUUAGAUACCCGCGUAGUCCCUGUCUCUUAUAC